rnacentral:rRNA from 1 species
AACGAACGCUGGCGGCACGCCUAACACAUGCAAGUCGAACGAGAUCUUCGGGUCUAGUGGCGCACGGGUGCGUAACGCGUGGGAAUCUGCCCUUUGGUUCGGAAUAACAGUUGGAAACGACUGCUAAUACCGGAUGAUGACGAAAGUCCAAAGAUUUAUCACCAGAGGACGAGCCCGCGUGGGAUUAGCUAGUUGGUGUGGUAAAGGCGCACCAAGGCGACGAUCCUUAGCUGGUCUGAGAGGAUGAUCAGCCACACUGGGACUGAGACACGGCCCAGACUCCUACGGGAGGCAGCAGUGGGGAAUAUUGGACAAUGGGCGAAAGCCUGAUCCAGCAAUGCCGCGUGAGUGAUGAAGGCCUUAGGGUUGUAAAGCUCUUUUACCCGGGAUGAUAAUGACAGUACCGGGAGAAUAAGCUCCGGCUAACUCCGUGCCAGCCGCCGCAGUAAAAC